GAUGAAUAGAGGACGGUGAGAGAUGAACGAUGACUGACAAUAAUAUAGAGGUCUACUGUCACUAGUGUGUGGUGGUGAAGUUGUUCUCUGCUCAGCUGACAGACAAGAGAUACAGAGACAGGAGUCCAUUCUGUUCCAAGUAGGUCACCUUGGCUCUCCUCUAUGCACAGCACUCCAGGGACUUCCUGCAGGUGGAGUCAGGCUUCUACUUCAUCGCCCUGGACCACGCCAUGAACGAGCCAGAAGUCGCUAAGUUUGGACCACCAUUACAAUGAGCCUGUCCUCCUAUAGCUCCUCCCACCAGCCUCCACUGCUCUUUUAAUUAUGGUGAUGCCCCAACUGUAAGAACCUGUAGAUCUCUACUGAUUUUGAGGGAGGUGACAUUGCCACAAACAGUGCCUGGGACACCUUCCAGCACUACCGCUGUCUGGAAAACAGCCAGAGGGUGGUCUGCUGCAACAGUGUGUCAGCUCGGCUGCACCUGGGAACUAAAGAUUGUCUGGGUCUGCUGAGAGGGUCAUUGGCUGCCACCUGCCCUCCAUUGAGGUCCUGCAUGACUCCAGGGCAAGGAAGCAUGCAUGAAAGAUCAUCACCGACCACUUCCACCCUUUCUUCCACAGACUCCCAUCUGGCAAACUGUUCAAGUCAAUCACAACCAAAACUUCCCACUGCCUGAAUCGUUUCUUCCCCUGUGCCAUGGCCCUCACCAACCGGCCGCCUGGUCCACAAUGAUCCUCUCAUCCAUGGACUCUGCGCUAUUCAUCCAGACUAUGCACCGUGCACUAUCAUCUUACAUUCUUAAUUUACAAUGUAGCUUAAUGGUGCUGCCACAAUAAACAGACCAAAAAAAUAUAUAUGCAGAAUU